CACGAAGUUAGCCGGUGCUUAUUCUUUGGGUACCGUCAGAACAAUCGGGUAUUAACCGACUGCUUUUCUUUCCCAACAAAAGGGCUUUACAACCCGAAGGCCUUCUUCACCCACGUGGCAUGGCUGGAUCAGGCUUGCGCCCAUUGUCCAAUAUUCCCCACUGCUGCCUCCCGUAGGAGUCUGGACCGUGUCUCAGUUCCAGUGUGGCUGAUCAUCCUCUCAGACCAGCUACGGAUCGUCGCCUUGGUGGGCCUUUACCCCGCCAACUAGCUAAUCCGACAUCGGCUCAUCUAUCCGCGCGAAGCCCGAAGGUCCUCCGCUUUCACCCUAAGGUCGUAUGCGGUAUUAGCGUAAGUUUCCCUACGUUAUCCCCCACGAAAAGGUAGAUUCCGAUGUAUUCCUCACCCGUCCGCCACUCGCCACCCAUGGUAUUGCUACCACUGUGCUGCCGUUCGACUUGCAUGUGUUAGGCCUGCCGCCAGCGUUCACUCUGAGCCAGGAUCAAACUCU
rnacentral:rRNA from 1 species